rnacentral:rRNA from 1 species
ACUCCUACGGGAGGCAGCAGUGAGGAAUAUUGGGCAAUGGACGAAAGUCUGACCCAGCCAUGCCGCGUGCAGGAUGACGGCCCUAUGGGUUGUAAACUGCUUUUAUAUGGGAAGAAACCCAAGGACGUGUCCUUGGCUGACGGUACCAUACGAAUAAGGAUCGGCUAACUCCGUGCCAGCAGCCGCGGUAAUACGGAGGAUCCAAGCGUUAUCCGGAUUUAUUGGGUUUAAAGGGUGCGCAGGCGGCCUUAUAAGUCAGUGGUGAAAUCUCCCGGCUCAACCGGGAAACUGCCAUUGAUACUGUAAGGCUAGAAUACAGACGAGGUAGGCGGAAUGUAGCAUGUAGCGGUGAAAUGCUUAGAUAUGCUACAGAACACCGAUCGCGAAGGCAGCUUACCAGACUGUAAUUGACGCUAAGGCACGAAAGCGUGGGGAGCGAACAGGAUUAGAUACCCUGGUAGUCCACGCCGUAAACGAUGAUUACUCGAUGUUGGUGAUACACUAUCAGCGUCCAAGCGAAAGCGUUAAGUAAUCCACCUGGGGAGUACGAUCGCAAGGUUGAAACUCAAAGGAAUUGACGGGGGCCCGCACAAGCGGAGGAGCAUGUGGUUUAAUUCGAUGAUACGCGAGGAACCUUACCUAGACUUAAAUGUAGAUUGCAUAGAGUAGAAAUAUUCUUUCCCCUCGGGGCUAUUUACAAGGUGCUGCAUGGUUGUCGUCAGCUCGUGCCGUGAGGUGUCGGGUUAAGUCCCAUAACGAGCGCAACCCCUAUCCUUAGUUGCCAUCAGAUAAUGCUGGGGACUCUAAGGAAACUGCCGGCGCAAGCCGUGAGGAAGGUGGGGAUGACGUCAAAUCAGCACGGCCCUUACGUCUAGGGCUACACACGUGCUACAAUGGCCCGAUACAGUGGGCAGCUACCUGGUGACAGGAUGCUAAUCUCCAAAAUCGGUCUCAGUUCGGAUCGGAGUCUGCAACUCGACUCCGUGAAGUUGGAUUCGCUAGUAAUCGUAUAUCAGCAAUGAUACGGUGAAUACGUUCCCGGGCCUUGCACACACCGCCCGUCAA